rnacentral:misc_RNA from 1 species
GAUGAAGAACGUAGCAAAAUGCGAUAAGUAAUGUGAAUUGCAGAAUUCAGUGAAUCAUCGAAUCUUUGAACGCACAUUGCGGCCAUAGGUAUUCCUUUGGCCAUGCCUGUUCGAGCGUCAUUUACACCCUCAAGCCUAGCUUGGUGUUGGGCGCCUGUCCCGCCGUUUUCGCGCGCGGACUCGCCUCAAAGUCAUUGGCGGCGGUCGUGCCGGCCCCCUCGCGCAGCACAUUUGCGCUUCUCGGAGGCCCGGCGGAUCCGCGCUCCAGCAAGACCUUUCACGACUUGACCUCGGAUCAGGUAGGGAUACCCGCUGAACUUAAGCAUAUCAAUAAGCGGAGGA